CCCAUAAGCACAACACAAGUACACCUGUAUGCCCACACAUGCACACUGUGCACAGUACACAUGCACACACACAUACGCAUGCACACACGCACACUUAGGGGCUGUUACCAGUUCCAUUUGAUGCAUACAGUCCUCCUAAAGUUCCUUUUUAAAAAAUGUGAGCAAUUCAAAAACAGGAAAGGAUAGAGAGUGACAUGGUGAACACCCUCCAUUCAGGAGUCACCGUUAACAUUCCCCAUGUUGUUGUCUCUUUCUUUCAUGUUUCUCCUGCUGCUCCUUGGACCUGGCGCUUCCUUACCGUGUCUGGCUUAUGCUCCCCUGUGCAUAGGUAUUCCAUGUCUGAGCUCUGGGGAUGCUUUAUGAGGUGUUUUCAAAACUCCUCUGUGUGAGUCCUGUUUGCUUUGUGGUCCCAUCGUGUCAUUGCCACAGUGACUUAUCUCGUCACUGUUUGUCCAUUUCCUUGUUGAGGAAUGUGUAGAUCGGUUGCAACUUUUUAUGCUUGAAAGUCUUUUAUCGAUCACCAUAUUGUAUGUCUCUGCAACCAAAAUGUGUACAUAAAUUGAAAUGAGAAUUUUUCUCUGGUUUUGAGUGGGUAUUACAAAUAUUCAAUUGACGAAAACAACACAAAUAUUACAAUUUUUAUAAAUAACAAACAUAAAUGCUAGAAAGCAUUGGACAGGCAUCUCCUAAAUUGAUGGGUUACGUCCCUGCACCCCUCCCACUCGCCACCAGUGAGUUCAUGUGGUCACAGUUGAACAUAACCUGUUGCUGGAAUGAGACAGGUUAGUGUCGGUUCCAGUUCUGUUUUUCAUUUCAGGUUGAAGAACUGUGUUCACAUAAAUCAGUAGAUGGGAAUGAACAUGGGUGUGAUAGAGCAGUAGCUUCAAAUUUGCCAACAAAUAUGAAAAUCACAUACAGAUCUAAUACCCCCAAAGUUGUUGAUUAUUUACAAGGUGACAACUUGAUCAUGUCCCUCCAGUUCCUAGUAACAGCUUUACUGAGCUAAAGUUCACACACUAUUAAAGUCACCCUUUU